AAUAAGCAAAGCUGCCCUAUAUGGUUUAAGAUGUUGACGAGCGACUUGAACAAGGAGCGGAGAAUCAGGCUGCUGGUGACCAGCUCUUCGGUCUUUCCCAGAAAUGAGAGCGUGUCUUCAGUGCAAUGGUACCACCAGAGGGACAAAACGAAGACAGUAACCUUCCUUAGAGGACCCGCACUCUGAGUGCUAAAGCAAAGGAAACAAGAUGCCCUCGGAGCCACAGAGAAAAGUAUAAAGCAUUGAAGACCCCAUGGAUACAGAAGACUCAAGUGGUUUCUGCUCUUCAAAACCAGAAUAUGCCUGCUGGAUGCAUAUUUCCUGAAAGUAAAUUGCAAAGAAGCUUCAAAAAUAAUCUAGCCAAAAGGAAACUGAAUUAUUGAGUGCCUUAAUCAUCCCUAGUUUUGGAGCUGGACCAGAGGAAAACAGGUGAAAGAGAAUAAUGGAAAAUAGCUGUGCUCUCCUCAAGUGGCAAAGAAAUGGAAGAAAAAGGUAGAAGCAUCUCACGUCAGUAACUGUAGCUACAGGAAAAUUACAAAGAGGAAAGAGGAGAGGAGUGAAAAAAGGAAGGAAGACGUGUUCUGCAGAGCAAAGAGAAGCAAGAGAAAGUGAGUUGCACAAAGUAAUGUGCAGAGGAAAAAGCAUGUCAUGAUUUUCUGAUUACGUCAAGAGCAUUCUUGCAGGUUUUCCUGCAAAACAUCAUGGUUGCAAACUCUAGGGACACAAAUGAGUGCUGCAACAGCCAUUUCCUAAAAAAGGUGUCCCCCACGGCUCAUAGGUCCCUUCUCUUGUGCCCAGUGGGAGACACUCAUGUACCCAUGUGCACACAGAGAGCUUCCUACUGCAGCUACCAGCUGGAAUCCACCUGAGGAAGACCAACAGACAGCAGGGAAGCAGAGCAGGAGGGAGAGGACUAGAGAGAGAGAGAGAGAGCGAGCGCAACAGGCCAGGGAAGCAGCCAAUGCUCAGCCCCACAUGUCCAGCAGCAGGAGCCGGACACAACCCGCAGCAGCACCAAGACCCUAGGGAGAGGAGUUCAGCUGCAAGGUGACCAUGCCUGCAUGGUCCUGAUCAUGUGCCAGGACCACCUGAGACAUCACAAAAUCAUCAUCUACACCCCUUGUAAGUGCUCCCAGUGUCUCCAUAAAAGAUGCUUUACCACCUUAUGUCUCCAGCCAUAAACACAGGCACCUUCCCUGCCUUAUCAAGCUCUCAAAGCAGGUCUGUAACUUUAAACACCUGGGUUUAAACAGAUGUUUCCUUUGGUUUGUCUGUGAAUUCCUGUUCCUGGGUAGUUUGUCCAUGUCCUCAGAUGCUUCUCCCACCUCCUGUACUCAGUGCUAUGCAUUCAUGCCUUCUCCCUUGACAAUUACCUGCUCUGUCGCUGUGCUGGAUUUGGGGGUGGAGGCAUUUUCUGCUGUUCCUCUUUCCUUCGUUUUAUCCUCUAUCCUAUAUUGGUAUGGCUUGGAAGGUUUUGUUUGGGGCAGAACAUACGUGAAUUUCUAAAAUAAAUAGUAGGAGCAUUAGUAGACUUCGGGCAUUAAGAGGGCUCUGAGGGAGGCACAUUCAGCACGUGCAAGAGGAUUACUGAAGUAAGCACCAGUGGAGUACCCAUGCUCACUGUACCUAUCACCAUCAAAAGGGGGUCUUCACAACACUUCAUUUUCUCCAGGAUUAAAUGGCCUCUGGGUGCCCUGUCAUUGUUAUACACCUGCCUCAACAUGUCUCUGCCCAGGUAGUCCUGGUAAGAAGUAGUGUCCCCUCAGCCCAUUCCCAGCGGGAAGAGAGGCAGUGCUGGAGGCACUCACAGCUGGUGCAUGGCCUGGACGGCAGCAUGCCUUUUCCGGCAAGACUCAGCCUCCUGCCAGGUUUUAUCAAUUGGUUGCCUUUGCAAAAGUACAACUUAUCACUCUCAAACACAGUACGAAAUCCACAGGUGACCACAGCUCCCAUCUGUGGCUUCCUCCCUUAUCUCUGGUUAUUGACUGGAGCACAGAAAGAGUGUAAUGAGGCUGAAAAUACUCCUGGAAGCCCAGGUGCCCACUUCCUCUAGCCUUGUGGCAGCUUGCAGCCUUCUGUUAGGCUGUGAAAAUACAUACUGCCAGCUGCAUAGGUGUCAAAAUGAUGUGCCACCUUAUCCAGAAGGAAAAGAUUGUUUUAAAAAAGGGAACAAAGCCAGAUCAUAUUUUUUUGCAGAGGUUAAAGUCUCCAACCCUCUUCUGAGCUGGAGGGAAAUGCUGCCCACACUUUCAGAUGGUGGUCCUAAAAGAACUAGGGGAUUUGAUGUGUUGAUGAACUUGGGAGACUAACCAUAAACAGAAGAGAAGAGGCUGAAUGCAUGCUAGUGCUUUCUCACCAUCCACUUUUCUGGCUCUUGCUCUAUCAGUCCAGCUACCAAAGACACAACAGUGGCACCAUAGCCCCAGCUGCUUGAACCCCAGCCAAGAGGCAGGUAAGGGAAACCUCCCCUUUGGCUUUGGGGUGCUACUACUUGGGCUCCCAUGAACAGAUAGGCUGGAUGCAGGGGAGAGGAGGUUGCCCCAGAAGGCAAAAUUAUACCCAUCACCUAGGCAAAAUGCAUCCGUGCCAGCUCCCUGCUAUCUUUGCACCAUCAUUAGAGAAAAUACUUCUCCUCCAUGGUAGAAAAUAGCUCCAAAUGUGCAAGAUUUACAAUCAUUAGUGGCUCAGCCCAUUUUGUCCCUCACCUACAGCCCAUAACAUCGCUGGUUUCCCCACAGAGCUUGCUUGUAAAUAAAACAUGCCCAUAUCAAACCACACUGAAGCCAUAUGAACGACAGGAAGCCAGGGAGACCUCACAGCCCGAGCCUGCCUUCCUGGGUGUAUCACAAGGAUGCACUGCAUAGCACUCAUAUAGCACAUACGCACAAAGCUAGAACUCAGCUUUUAAACCCAGGGCUGUCUCUUUUCAAGAAAGGAAGGGGAGGACAAAAGGGGGAGGUGCUGGGUUUUGCCAAGCUUCAGGUGCACCAUACAACCGCACAGUGAAUGGAAACAAGGCUGGUGGGAGGCUGCUUUUGGAAGAAAAAAAAAUGGAAGCAAAUCAUAAAAUUACCAAAGGACUUUUUUAUUUAUUAUUAGUUCUAAAAUGUGUCUCAGAAACCCUCCUGUGAUUUCCAAGCAUUUUGAAAUGAACUGUAGGUGAGCAAAAACACGUCAGAAGAGUUAUUAAAAGAAGUUCAUCAAGUACAAGAAAGAUUACAUGUGGAAAGAGCAUAAGCUGAAGACGGGGAGUUCCCCUGAAAGAAUAAACUCAAAUAAACUUUGUCCCUGCCCCAAAAGUGAAACAAUAGUACUCAUACCUCUAAAGUACACCCCCAUACUUAAACUAUUUUCCACAUGAUAUCUAACUGCAGACCAUAAAGGGCCUGAAGCCAGCUGUGCUAGUGAUAGACCUAACGAUACCACUCUAGCCCUGGUCCCACAAAACCAGCACAAGUGGAGCCCAGCCUGGCAAGGAGGGGUUCACCUACUCUACUGGGAGAAUGGGGCUACUUGACUGCCCCUUACCAUUUAUUUAUAGCAUUUGCUUUCUCGAGCCUUAUCACAAUGGGACUUCUAUUCUUUUUACUGAGGUCCAGAAAGUUUCGACACAAAAAAACCCAGAAGCUCAUAUCAGCUGCCGGUAAUGCAUAGGUCACGUCGGGACUGACCCAGCACUUUGACUGCUGUGCUUCCACCGACACACACGCCAGAUCAGGUGACAGCAUUUUGCCCUCACCUCUGGCAGACACAAGAAAUAACAUGCAGCAUCAGGGCUUGGAGGCCCUUCACCACAGUGUCACCCUCUCUCUCUGAGCAGAGUUCACCCACCUUACACCACACUGGCUGAAGACACACAGGACUGCGAGGUGUCCACACCAACCGUGUGUACAUCACUUUUGCCUUAUCUGUGCCAGGAGAGGAGAAUUUCUUCUCCCCACCCUCUGGGGAUGGGUAGCACACUGCUGGAUGCUUUCUCUCCCCUGAUUAUAAUCAGGAAGUUGAUUGUGAACACAGACAGUGUUUAAUGAUGUCUUGUUCUACUGGGUCUUAAAUAGUCAUUAACUUUAUAAAGAGAUUUCAAAUAAGAUUACAAUUCUGAGAGUAUGAGGUGUACCUACCUUCAGA